GACGAACGCUGGCGGCGCGCUUAACACAUGCAAGUCGAGCGAGAACCAGGCCUUCGGGCCUGGGGACAGCGGCGAACGGGUGAGUAACACGUGGGUAAUCAACCCUCGAUACUGGGAUAGCCCGGGGAAACCCGGAUUAAUACCGGAUGGCCCUUUGGAUCCUUGGAUCUGAAGGAAAAGGUAGCUUCGGCCUCCGAUCGAGGACGAGCCCGCGGCGGAUUAGCUUGUUGGUGAGGUAACGCUCACCAAGGCGACGAUCCGUAGCUGGUCUGAGAGGACGAUCAGCCACACUGGGACUGAGACACGGGCCCAGACUCCUACGGGAGGGCAGCAGUGGGGAAUCUUGCGCUAAUGCGGGAAACCGUGACGCAGCGACGCCGCGUGAGGGAAGAA
rnacentral:rRNA from 1 species